AAUGAACGCUGGCGGCGCGCCUAAUACAUGCAAGUCGAGCGAGAAGACGUAGCAAUACGUUUGUAAAGCGGCGAACGGGUGAGGAAUACAUGGGUAACCUACCCUCGAGUGGGGAAUAACUAGCCGAAAGGUUAGCUAAUACCGCGUACGCUUCUUGGACUUCGGUUCAGGGAGGAAAGCGAUACCGUGGGUAUCGCGCUCUUGGAUGGGCUCAUGUCCUAUCAGCUUGUUGGGAGGUAACGGCUCACCAAGGCUUCGACGGGUAGCUGGUCUGAGAGGACGAUCAGCCACACUGGCACUGCGACACGGGCCAGACUCCUACGGGAGGCAGCAGUAAGGAAUAUUGCGCAAGUGGGCGAAAGCCUGACGCAGCGACGCCGCGUGGGGGA
rnacentral:rRNA from 1 species